AAUGAGAAGCAAUCUCAGCCCCUCGGAUCAACUCAAUCCAACGGAUCACGAUUUACCCGACCAAAUGAAACGUAAAUUGGUAAUUCACCCGUGUUGAAUGACCUCCUCUCACAACAUCCUUUUUCAGAAUUCUUUCUCUCUCUCUAUCAUUUCAAUUUUCUCUCUCUUCCUGCGAUCUCUCGCCAUUUUCCCUCUCCUCUCGUUUUUAUGUCUCUUCUCUCCAUCUUUGAAGAUCCAAUUCCUUCAUUGUUCUAGCAAAUGGCUGGUCUAAAAUGUAAUGUUGUUGAGCCGUUGAAGUUGGUUAAUGGGAGGCCAUCUGUCCCAAUCCUUGACGAACAGUUGCUGCCGGAGUUUCUGCACUCAAAACGCUUGGAAAGCUCUGUAAAUAGGAGUAAUACAAGGUUGGAAUUGUUUUCUGGCUUGGCAAAUCCUGCAUUGGCUAAGGUCAAUUCAGAUUUCAUAUCACGUAAUCCAAGAAAACAAUCAUAAUGCAGGUAAUCAUGUAUUGACUUUUAUAUGUAAUGAAACGUUUUGUUGUCUUUAAUGCAGUUGGAUAGCUAAGUUUCUAUGAAUCUUAAGUUUUGUACUGUAUUCCUAAAAUGCCCACCGACAUCCCAAAGUAGUACACCCGACUAGGAGUAAAUUUAUUUUGCUCAUUUGCACAAAUGAGUAAAACAACUAACAACACAAGAGUAAUGGAACUGUGGAAGAGAUGGCAAAAAAUCUUUGUACUGUGUUAUCUCGUCUGUAUGAUUUUCUUUUUUUUCUUUUCUUUCUUGUAACUACGCUCUUUUGAGACAUAUCACCUCUUGUUGGUUUGCUGGGGUCUUAUACCUCCUAUUCUGCCUGCAAUAUGGUUCAAGUAAGGUAUGCAGAUUUUGUGCAUUUCCUGUUCUGUUGAGAAGCAGCUGCUGUUGUCCAUAACCUGUCUGUGAAUAACCUGUUUGAUUAUAAGUUGGUUGAACAGGUGUUGUUGAACUAGAAUAACUCGGAUAUGCACUAUAACCAUUCACAGGAGCAGCUGGUGGCUGACUGUAGCUCGUUGCAUAUGCAGAUGCGGGUUGAGUUUAGCUCGUACCAUCAGGGGCUCUAUAACCUGGAUGAGGAGUUUGGACAACAGUUGUUCCUUCUCUAUGAAAGAUCUCUUUCUUUAGUUUGUCCUUUUGAGCCUAUAACUUCUCUGUCAAUAACUGCUUCAUUCUUGGUGUCGUCAUAAUUGCACUUAAAUAUCUGUUUAGGCUCGUUGUAGGAUGUAUACAUUUCUUUUACUGUUUGUGGUUUGGACUCUUGUUUUGGGCUAGAAACGUUUGCUACAAGUUUGGUAGAUGCCUCUAUUUUAGGCUCUUCUGAAGCUAGUUGGUUUUUUUUGGUUUUUGCUUUACUUUUUUUGGUUUUUGCUUUACUUUUGUUGAUUCUAUUUAAAAACACUAGCCUACUAGCUCAAUAGGUAGAGCAUUGUUCAAAUGCAGAAAAGAUGUGGGUUCGAAUCCCAUGUAGGUUAAUCUUUACUUUUUGUAUUGUUUUAUUUACUUUUGGGUUAAUGUUAUUUACUUGUUAUCAGUUCAUGUUCUUUUUGAGCUAUUGUCUAUCAAUCUGCAUAUAACUCUGCUAUUCUGAAUUUUGAACUGAUACAUUAUUUUAGUCAUCAGGGAAUGAUAUGGGAUCAUUGUUGGUAGAUAUAGUUUUAUAACUAGCUGUUGCAACUACAUUUAUGGAAAACUGAAGGUGACUGUGGACCAAUAAAAGGUUUCUAGUCACAGCUAUAUGUAAGCAUUGUAAUGAUUUGUUGAUAUGAAUUACUGUGACACCAUGUUUCUCUAACAUGGCUGCUUCGAGUUCAUCAAGACUGAAUAUGUAUUUAUCUUAUCAUGCAUUAUGUUCAAAGCAGAUUGCAUACUAGUUUUCAAACAACUCUGUUUUGUAGCUGGCUGGGUUUUAGCUGCUUAGAUUCACUCAUUCAUCAGGAUCUUGAUUUUAUGACUGACUUUUACCAAAUCUCUCAUGUUUUGUUUCAGAUUUAAGAAGAUCUGCACCCACCCUUUGCAUCAAAAUCUGGAUACACACCUAUUGCUCCAAUACCCCUGGUAAAAAAAAUACCCUACCUAAUGAGGCUCAGAAACCCAAUGCUUUGAAGAAGAAACUGCCACCAGUGGCACCAAGAGUUUGUUUAUUCAAGAAGAAAAAGAUUAAUAAGUUGGUUCACAUCUAUGCUGAUUGGAUUGAUGAGGAAUCCUUCGUGCCCUGUUUGGCUACUGAGUAUCAACAAUGAGUUCUAGAUUGGGGAUUGUGAAGUGGGUACUUGUUUUGGAGCUCGGCAACAGUAUAUAAAUAGAGUUCAUAAAUACAGUUAGUGAACUGCAUUAGUGUCAUGAUUACAUCAGCUUUUUUUUCAACAGGAGAUGGAUGCCUGUGGACUUGCAGCUACUGAAGUUUAUUAGUUUCCGUUCAAGUUUGAAUUUAAUAAUAAUAUUAGACGAGAUUCUACGAAAAAAAAUUCUUCAAAAAAAACAUGUUUUUUUGGAGAGAGAUACUAUUUCUCCAAUCGAGUAAUAAAAUUGAUGAAUAGUCAUUCGAUGAAAAUAAA